rnacentral:misc_RNA from 1 species
GCCUAGCAAAACAAAACAAAACAAAGACAAACCAUGAAAAAUUUAAGUGAAAAAACACAUAACAUACUAAUACAAUUUGGCAGGAUUUUUAGACCCAUUUUUGUUCUGUAACAACAUCACAACAAUUCAAUCUGUUUAGCACAAAAAGAAAACUGAAAAUUUGGACGGAAGUUUCUCCUGCCCUACUCUCUCAUCAUAUUCGACACGUACAGAACAAAGAGCAAUGCUUUCCUCCAGCUCCAGUGCAACACAAAUGCGGCAGACGACAUUAUUCAUUUGAUCCCAAAAGAAGUGAGACACAAGUAUUAUAACUCUUUCAACUUCCAUUGCUGGUGAGGAAUGCAAGGUGCUCAGAUUUUUUGAAAAACUAUGCAUGGGAAAUUAUUAUGCUGCUUCAGAAAAAGAAGAACCUCAUUUUCCUCCAAAAUUUGAGAUACAUUGUCACUGUGGAUUACAAAACAAUGGCCAAUUGUCCUAUGGUGGCAUCUAGGUUGCCCUCCCAGUGCCACUUAUCUUCUUCUUCUGAUAUAUAGACUCUAUCUAGCUUUGGUGUAUCAAGGACUCCCUUGCAGAAAGCUUGCAUCUGGGGGCAAUGGUUUACAAUUACUUUUUCCAGCGCCGGGAAAAUCAAGGACUGGUAUCCUGCACAAAAGCUUGUAAGGAUUGGCAAAUAAUGAAGUUCCAAAGACUUCAGCUGACUGAAAACAAUCUCAUCUUCCGCCUCGCCUGUCUUAUAAUUGACAAUUUCUGUCAUCAUUCUGCAUUCACUUAUACACAUUCUUGUAAGGUGCAUCAAACUUGCAGCUGUUGAGGGCAUGAUCAAAUUUGUCAAUCCAUCACAAUUUGAUACUUCCAGAGCAGUCAAAAGUUUGAAUGAAACCGAGGAUGGUACUAAAGAUUUCAAGAGGCCACAAUAUGAUAUUUCUAAAGUUUCCAGAUUUUGAAAAAUUAGGCCUAGGCAAGAGUCUUCUUUCCAUAGAUAUUUCAGCCUAGACAGCUUCAAUUUUCUUAACUGUGAGAAAAAGAACUCUGCUAGAAACUCGCUAUGCCAUGUCUCCAUCAUUACACUGUUACCCUCCAAGCUCAGUUCCUCUAAGUUCUGGAAUGUAUCCUUUUCAACCAAGAAUAGAGGAUGUGGAAUUGG